GAGCACAGGGAGAGUGGCAGCAAUACCAGGGAGCCUUAUGCUUACAAGAUGGACACCAUAUGUUUUCACUAUCGCUUCGUAGCUGUUCUCAUCUGUCCCUUUUCUUUGUCCUUUUAGUAUCUGAGGUCCAGUAACCCUGAGAAAUUUAAUUUGAGAAGACACCAUGAAUGAAAUAUUAAUAUUUUAAAAUCAAGUACAAAGAGAAGAUUGCCUGUGAGUGGUUAUUCUCUUCAGUUGUCCAAUAGCUGUUAUUUAUCAAAUUAACACCAAAACGUUCAAACUCUCUAAAAAUGAAUAGCUUUGCUUUAUAAGGAGAGUUGUGAAAACUUAUUAAGAACUCCUGCACAUAUUAUUUAAAGAUACCAUUUACACGUGAGAGUAAUUAUAAAUGAAAUAUAUUAAAUGUCCGAAAGUAGCACCAUGUGGCAGAAUUUUCAGGAAAAGAAAUCGAAUUAGUACUGGAAGAAGACAUUCAAAUAAGAGAACCACAUUUUCAAGGAGCUCCAAGUUGAACAACUAUCCACACAGAAAACCACCCUCAUAAGAACCAAAAAUCAGACUCCUGCCCCUGCCACGAGAACACACCCUUUCCAGUUUGCUGGAGAAAUAUAAGAGAAGUCCAGUGAAAGAGAGCUGAGUUUCCCCAAUGAUGCCAUCAAGAUGAACUAACUACAGUUAACCAGCCAGCUGAUAGCAGAUGCAUGAGUGAGCCCAGCUGAGAGCAGGUGAAACUGAAAUUGGCUGUAUCAUCUGAAACUUCAUCUGUGAAGUCCCUGGUGGUUUCCUAGAUGACUACACAGUUGAGUUGCCUCUGAUUGGAAAAGCAGUGUUUUGGUUUUUCAGUUUGUACAAGAGGAAGAAGACGCAUGAUAUGUGUUUGGCUCAUGUGCCUGAAUAUGGCUCCACAGGGAAGACUUGAUACAGCUGAAGCUAUUGCUUUUUAGAGACUUUUUAUUUUGAGCAGCUGCCUUAACAGCCUUCGUCUUGUUACAUCACAUGAGAUAUAUCUCUGGAAUAGGAAGAGAAAAAAGACAUGACUGAGCAAUAAUUUUUGACUAAAACUUAAAAUUACAAAACCAAAACCAGAGAUAGAUGUCCCUGAAGUUGUAUUUUUAUAGUAUGUGAGAACACAAUUUUCUUAUCCUAGUUUUAAGGCAUUCCUCUGGACCCAGGAUUUUUGUUUAGUUUCAUUCACAUAAUCAAACUCUUUUUUUUUUUUUUGCCAUAGACUAAUGCAUUUUGGUGUAAUGAUCUGAGCCCUUAUCCAGAAGGCAUCUAAGACUCAUGUACAAAAAUAGAUUUCAGGGCUAAACAUUCUAAAAGACAAUUGAGUGCUUCUUUUUUCUCCGGCCCCUAGAUGUAAAUGAAUAACCUCUGUUCACUAACUCUUAAUGUAAUAUAAGGGAUAAAUUAUGCUUGUUUAUUUAAUUGUGCUUAACCAGAGUACUAGGUUGGAGUCAAACCACAGAUAUAUUUGUGAGAUGUGACAAAAUGUAGCUUUUAGCCCGUAAUACCCAAGUCAUCUGGGAACAUAACUGAUGACAGUGUCAACACCUUUCAGGAAUUCUGGAGGUGCCUUUGAGUUUAGAAAUUCGUAGGUUCUCUAGAAGCAACAGUAGCAUACUAAAUUAACACAUAACAUUUCAAGCUACAUUUACAUAAUUGCAGUGGUUAUGAUUAAUACAAAUUAUAUUAACUGCCUGUUUUACUCCUUAUAGCUGAUUGGCUGAAUUUACCAGUGGGUUUGGUAUGUUCAACAAAUGAUCCAAAUUACCUUUUCAUUUCAGUUAAGAAACUAAUCAAAGCAAAUACACUUUGAUUUGUUGAGAGGCAGAGAUUCUCCCUAAGUGGCAAUGUCCUUGGCCUUCUAAGCUAAAACCUAAAUGGAACUAUAAUAUAUAUUUUGAUGCUUUAUCUCACUUGAGUUUUUUAUUCUUUAACUGAAGGGCAGCCAUGGACCAUAAAUACAUAGAAGAUAAAAAUAUAUUGAGCUUAGGAGUUUGGUCUGUUCAAUGGAUGAGAACUUUAUAUUUUCCCUUAUAAACACAAUUUUCAAAGAAUAGCCUGUAAUAGUCGUGAAAAUGGAAACCAAUACUGGGGAAAUGUGGACUGCAACUCUGAAAAGGUAUCAAAAUGCCCGAUAGUUCAACACAAGGGCUAAGCAAUAUUUCAGGGAUGUGGCC
ensembl:lncRNA ASMER1 adipocyte associated metabolic related lncRNA 1